rnacentral:rRNA from 1 species
AAUGAACGUUGGCGGCGUGGAUUAGGCAUGCAAGUCGAGCGAGUCCACCUUGUAGCAAUACUCGGUGAGUCGAGCGGCGUAAGGGGCAGUAAUACCUGGGAACGUACCCUGAGGUUGGGGAUAGCUGCUGGAAACGGCGAGUAAUACCCGAUGAUCUCGAGAGAGCAAAGGCUUGCCGCUUUCGGAGCGGCCCAGGAGAUAUUAGCUAGUUGGUGAGGUAAUAGCUUACCAAGGCAAAGAUGUAUAGCGGGUGUGAGAGCACGACCCGCGCCACUGGCACUGAGACACUGGCCAGACACUUACGGGUGGCUGCAGUCGAGAAUCUUCGGCAAUGAGCGCAAGCUUGACCGAGCGACGCCGCGUGCGGGAUGAAGGCGUUCGGGUUGUAAACCGCUUUGGUCCGAGAGAAAGGU